UCUGUGUUCUCUCAAGUAACAUAAUCCACUCAGUGUGAUGGAAUUUGGAGGUGAUUAGGUCAUAAGGGCAGAGAACUCAUUAAUGGGAUUAGUGCCCUUAUAUAAGAGACUCCAGAGAGCUCCCUUGUGCCCUCUACCAUGUGAGAAGACCCCUAUCUAUGAAACAGGAAAUGGGCACCCACCCGACACGGAAUUUGAUGAUAUCUUAAUCUUGGACUUCCCAGCCUCCAGAACUGUGAGAAAUAAGUUUCUAUUGCUCAUAAGCCACUCAGUCUACAGUACUUUGUCUCCAGUGACUAAGCUGUUAAUCAUGGUAUUACAAAGACUCCCACACACAGAACACACCUUGAAGCAACACUUGCACAUACCUACCAGAAUUCAAAUACAGGAACGGUCACUCCAGCAUUGCUCACAAGCGCCGGAAAUUGGGAGCAAACCAAAUGUCCAUCAGCAGUUAAAUGGAUAACCAGAUUGUGGUAUAUUCAGGUAGUAGAAUACUAUCCAGCAAUCAAGACAAAUAAGUUGUUCUAGGCAUACUAUGGAUGAAUCUAUCAAAUAAAAGCAAAAAAGAUGAUAAAACAAUUCGUAGAGAA